UGAUUUUUCUUUAAAGAUAACUAGUUCCACAAAACAGACAAAACACCCAUAGAAACCAAACUCUCUUUCUCUGGUGCUAACCUCUCAUAAGAAAGGGAACUUUGGUUUAGUUAAAUUGGGAAAACUUUAAAAUUUUAGUGCUUCUUACGAUAUGCGACAGAUAAUUCUUGAAGCAAAAUGCAAGAAUAUUGGUUUCUUUCUCUAGUUGUAUCUUAUUUACUGUGAGUAGAUUUUAAAAUGAUUUUGUACAAAACUAAAGAGAUUUUGAAAAAGAUAUAAAUAGAGUUGCAAAGAAGAAGGAGAAAGGAAAGGAGUGAAUGAAGUUGAUGAGCUGGAGAGGAGGGAGAUACUCACUUGGAUGUCAAAUAAGUUAAAAUACCUUUAUUUUGGAAUAAAGUUUAAAAGGAUUCUAGUUAUGAAAUUAAGAUUAUAAAGUACCUUUGCCCAGGAAAAACCUCAAGCUUCUCUUUCCCGAUUCCCCUUCUCCGCCAUCUCCCUUUUUUCUAUCUCUCACCCUCUUUCUCUUUGGGCUGCCGAUCACUAGCGCUCACUCCUUGCUCUUCCACCACCGGCAACUCACCUCUCUCAAGAAAGCUUUUCUCCAUUAAUCACACUUGAAGUUUAUUUUAUUCGG